AUGGAUCUCUCGCGGCCAGGGUCGUCGGACCUCUCGCUCGGGCUCCACCCGCACGCGCACGCCAACGCCCACGCGCGCGUGCACGCGCGCGCCAUGCGCCCCGCGAAGCGUCACGCGUCGGGCGCGGAUCUGGAGGCGCGCCGCGGCGCGGUCCGCGCGUGGGGGAACCAGCCGCUCGCCGAGGCCGACCCGGACGUGCACGCGCUCAUGGAGCGCGAGAGGGAGCGCCAGGUGCGCGGCAUCGAGCUCAUCGCCUCGGAGAACUUCGUCUGCCGCGCCGUGCUCGACGCCCUCGGCAGCCACCUCACCAACAAGUACUCCGAGGGGCACCCGGGAGCUCGCUACUACGGCGGGAACCAGCACAUCGACGCCAUCGAGCGCCUCUGCCACGAGCGCGCCUGCACCGCCUUCGGCCUAGACCCCGCCUGCUGGGGGGUCAAUGUCCAGCCCUACUCAUGCACCUCCGCAAACCUGGCGGUCUACACAGGGCUUCUCCUUCCCAACGACCGUAUCAUGGGCCUUGAGCCGCCGUCCGGUGGCCAUGUCAGCCACGGGUACUACACGCCUAGUGGUAAGAAGGUGUCUGGGGCCUCGAUAUUCUUCGAGAGCUUGUCAUACAAGGUGAAUCCACAGACUGGCUAUAUCGAUUAUGACAAGCUUGAGGACCGGGCAAUGGAUUUCCACCCCAAGAUUCUUAUCUGUGGUGGGAGUUCCUACCCCAGGGAGUGGGACUUUGCACGGAUGAGGCUGAUAGCUGACAAGUGUGGUGCAGUGCUCAUGUGCGACAUGGCGCAUAUUAGCGGACUUGUUGCAGCAAAGGAAUGUCGUAGUCCAUUCGACUACUGUGACGUUGUUACGUCAACUACUCACAAGAACCUAAGGGGUCCUAGAGGUGGAAUAAUAUUUUUUAGGAAAGGGAAGAAUAUGAGGAAGCGAGGUGGAUCUUUUUCUCAAGGGGAUGAAAAUGAUUAUGAUUUUGAGGAUAAGAUAAAUUUUGCUGUAUUCCCUUCACUGCAAGGAGGGCCGCAUAAUAACCAUAUUGCUGCUUUAGCGAUAACGCUGAAGCAAGUUGCGACGCCUGAAUAUAAAGCAUACAUUCAACAAGUUAAGAAAAAUGCUCAAGCUUUGGCAUCGGCCUUGCUCAGAAGAAAAUGCAGAUUGGUUACUGGUGGCACUGAUAAUCACUUGGUACUUUGGGACCUCAGAACUUUUGGCUUGACCGGGAAGAACUUUGAGAAGGUCUGUGAGCUGUGCCACAUCUCUAUAAAUAAGACACCGAUAUAUGGGGACAAUGGCUCAAUAUCUCCCGGUGGCGUUCGUAUUGGAACACCUGCAAUGACUACUAGAGGUUGCCUAGAAGAUGACUUCGAGGUGAUUGCAGAUUUCCUCAUCAGGGCGACACAGAUAGCUGGCAGUGUUCUGAAACAACACGGAAAAGUGCAGAAGGAAUUUCUAAGAGGCCUGGAGAACAAUAAGGACAUUAUAGAGCUCGGUAACCAGGUCGAGGCUUUCGCAUCACAGUUUGCGAUGCCAGGUUUUGAUGUAUGA
rnacentral:rRNA from 1 species